CCCCUGAAGAAUUCCAAACUCAAAACACUUUACCCCUGAAGAAUUCCAAGCUCAAAACCCUUUACCCCUGAAGAAUUCCAAGCUCAAAAUUCUUUACACCUGAAGAAUUCCAAGCUCAAAACCUUUUACCCCUGAAGAAUUCCAAGCUGAAAACCCUUCAGCCCUGAAGAAUUCCAAGCUCUGAAAAAUUUCAAAGUCAAACCUCUUUACCCCUGAAGAAUUCCAAGCUCAAAACCCUUUCCCCCUGAAGAAUUCCAAGCUCAAAACCUUUUACCCCUGAAGAAUUCCAAACUCAAAACACUUUACCCCUGAAGAAUUCCAAGCUCAAAACACUUUGCCCCUGAAGAAUUCCAAGCUCAAAACCCUUUACCCCUGAAGAAUUCCAGGGAUCCUCGACAGGGGGGGUACGGAUAUUAAAUGGAAUAGCCCUAUGCAA